rnacentral:rRNA from 1 species
AGUGAACGCUGGCGGUAGGCCUAACACAUGCAAGUCGAACGGCAGCACAGUAAGAGCUUGCUCUUACGGGUGGCGAGUGGCGGACGGGUGAGGAAUACAUCGGAAUCUACUUUUUCGUGGGGGAUAACGUAGGGAAACUUACGCUAAUACCGCAUACGACCUACGGGUGAAAGCAGGGGAUCUUCGGACCUUGCGCGAUUGAAUGAGCCGAUGUCGGAUUAGCUAGUUGGCGGGGUAAAGGCCCACCAAGGCGACGAUCCGUAGCUGGUCUGAGAGGAUGAUCAGCCACACUGGAACUGAGACACGGUCCAGACUCCUACGGGAGGCAGCAGUGGGGAAUAUUGGACAAAGGGCGCAAGCCUGAUCCAGCCAUACCGUGUGGGUGGAGAAGGCCUUCGGGUUGUAAAGCCCUUUUGUUGGGAAAGAAAAGCAGCAGGUUAAUACCCCGCUGUUCUGACGGUACCCAAAGAAUAAGCACCGGCUAACUUCGUG